UGAAGAACGCAGUAAAAUGCGAUAAGUAAUGUGAAUUGCAGAAUUCAGUGAAUCAUCGAAUCUUUGAACGCACAUUGCGCCCGCUGGUAUUCCGGCGGGCAUGCCUGUUCGAGCGUCAUUUCAACCCUCAAGCCCCCCGGGUUUGGUGUUGGGGAUCGGCUCUGCCUCACGGCGGUGCCGCCCCCGAAAUACAUUGGCGGUCUCGCUGCAGCCUCCAUUGCGUAGUAGCUAACACCUCGCAACUGGAACGCGGCGCGGCCAUGCCGUAAAACCCCAACUUCUGAAUGUUGACCUCGGAUCAGGUAGGAAUACCCGCUGAACUUAAGCAUAUCAAUAAGCGGAA
rnacentral:misc_RNA from 1 species